rnacentral:rRNA from 1 species
GAUGAACGCUGGCGGCGUGCUUAACACAUGCAAGUCGAACGAAGCACUUUAUUUGAUUUCCUUCGGGACUGAUUAUUUUGUGACUGAGUGGCGGACGGGUGAGUAACGCGUGGGUAACCUGCCUUGUACAGGGGGAUAACAGUUGGAAACGGCUGCUAAUACCGCAUAAGCGCACAGCAUCGCAUGAUGCAGUGUGAAAAACUCCGGUGGUAUAAGAUGGACCCGCGUUGGAUUAGCUAGUUGGUGAGGUAACGGCCCACCAAGGCGACGAUCCAUAGCCGACCUGAGAGGGUGACCGGCCACAUUGGGACUGAGACACGGCCCAAACUGCUGCGGGAGGCAGCAGUGGGGAAUAUUGCACAAUGGGCGAAAGCCUGAUGCAGCGACGCCGCGUGAGCGAAGAAGUAUUUCGGUAUGUAAAGCUCUAUGAGCAGGGAAGAUAAUGACGGUACCUGACUAAGAAGCACCGGCUAAAUACGUG